CCAAUAGCGUAUAUUAAAGUUGUUGCAGUUAAAAAGCUCGUAGUUGAAUUUCGGGAUUGGCGCAUCGGUCGUGCCUUACGGGGUACGAACUGGUGCAGUCAAUUUCUCACCUUCUGGAGAACCGCGAUGUCCUUAAUUGGGUGCCGCGGGGAACCAGGACCUUUGAUUUGAAAAAAUUAGAGUGUUUAAAGCAGGCAUUCUUUCUUGAAUCCAUUAGCAUGGAAUAAUAAAAUAUGACGGCAUGGUUCUAUUUUGUUGGUUUCUAGGACCAACGUAAUGAUUAAUAGGGGUAGUUGGGGGCAUUAGUAUUCAAUUGUCAGAGGUGAAAUUCUUGGAUUUAUUGAAGACUAACUACUGCGAAAGCAUUUGCCAGGGAUGUUUUCAUUAAUCAAGAACGAAAGUUAGGGGAUCGAAGACGAUCAGAUACCGUCGUAGUCUUAACCAUAAACUAUGCCGACUAGGAAUCAGACGAUGUUAAUUUUUUAAUGACUCGUUUGGCACCUUACG
rnacentral:rRNA from 1 species